CACGUUAUGGAUCCACCCCACCCCCACCCCCCACCCCACCUCCCGGUGAGGAAUGAAAGAGGUCAGAACUGGGCCGUAGCUCAGCGGGGAUACAGACAUUUGUCUAAUGGCUCUUUUUGACACUAGCAUCCCACGGAAUCUUACCUCCCUCUGGGUCUCCUCCGCGGGAAUGGAGCUCCGUGAAAGUUUUGUUCUAUUUCGCUCACUGCUCUCUACACAAACUAGAUAACCUUACCUUACGUCAAGCUGAAAGAUAAACAAGCCGGCUCAGAGUCUAUCGUACUUGGCAGAAAGGCAUCUAACACGGAUGAAAGGGAAAUCUAGAGCUUCCAAUGUAGAAUACAAAAAGAAAAAGAGAAAGAAAGAAAGAGAAAGAAAGAAAGAAAGAAAGAAAGAAAGAAGGAAAGAAAUAAAGAAGGAAAAAGAAAAAUUGAAAAUUAAAGAUUCAGUAUUUCUACAUCUGGAAUAAACAAGACAAAACAAAACAUACAACAACAAAACUAAAUUGGGUGGUGGUGGCAAACGCCUUUAAUCCCAACAUAGGGAGGCAUGUGAAUCUCUAUGAGUUCAAGGCCAGCCUUGGUCACAAAGUGAGUUCCAGGACAGCCAGAGAAACCCUGUCUUUAAGAUAGAUAGAUAGAUAGAUAGAUAGAUAGAUAGAUAGAUAGAUAGAUAGAUAGAUAGAUAAUAGAUAAUAGAUAAUAGAUGGAUAGAUAAAUGAUAUACAGAUUAAUAGAAAGGCAUGCUUUAAAGAAGAGUAGAAAUCAAACAGUAAGCAGACAGACUGAAAAUUAGCAUUAUAGAGGGGUUGGGUAAAGACACUUAAGCUCUCUUUUCUCUAAGUGUUCUGCAAUUCCAAGUGCAUGGAGCAAGUCAGAUUCCUAAGACUUUCUCAGGGUCCUGGGUAAUUCAGUCUAUUAAUCAAGCAUUCAUUCAUUUCCGUGGUCUCCCAGGCCAAGACUUACCUGUAUCCCCAGAAUUUGAACACCUACCCAUCGCCUACCUAAUGGCUUAAAGCGGGCCAAAUCCUUUUUCAAAAAUUCACUUUACAAUACCUACUGAGUGUACAAAGUACACGACCGGGCUUUACGUAUGCAUUUUAUUAAUACACACUAUGUCCCUAAUUGCCUUUGCAGUCUAUAAAUACUUAUUAAGCAUCUGCUGUGCUCCAGGCACCCUUCUAAAGAUGGAUUAAUUACAGUAUUUAUAAUACAUCUAUUGUCAUGCUCUAUUUUAUAGUUGAAAAUACUGAGCUUUAGAGAAAUUAGACAUUACCAGCCAAACGCAGAGUUUUCAACCCAUCCAAGAGCUGGGUUUGCUUUGUUUGUCUUGUUUUUGUUUGUUGUUUUGCUCGUAUUUGUUUGUUCCGAGAUAAGACCUCACUAUGUAGCUCCAGCUGGAACUUGCUUUGUAGACCAGGCUGGCCUGGAACUCACAGAGUUCCUCCUGCCUCGGCUUCCAGAGUGCUAAGAUCACUGGUGUACCACUUAAUUAUUUCUUUCAAUCAUGGAAGAGGUUCCAAAAAACUUAAAGGAAAAUUCUUUCUGUUUAAGUCCUGCUACUCCCCAUCUCCUCCUUCCCUUGGGUUUACUGAACUCUAUCGAAUUACUGGCCUAAACCUAGUUUCCCUUAGAAGACCUGAUUUAAGGGCUCCUGACCUUUGGAUGAACUCAAUUCUACCCACUUUGGUUAGGGCAUCUGUGGGCCUCAAAUCUACAAGCCAAUGGGAUUUAGUUUUCCUUUCCCUCCGGAGUUCUUCAGAACCUCUCCACCCAACCCACUUGUUUAUCUAGUCUGAUGCUUGAAAACCCACCUCCCUUCCUGUCAGUCAGGCUGUUGGCGGUCGAUGGUGAUUGAUUGAUUUACCGUACUUCUUGUGUUUUGUUCUGUCCGAUUUUACUUAUUUGUGGGUUUCGUUUUUUUGUUUUUGUUUUUAUUCACUGUGGGAUAAAAAGCCAAGCUGCUUCCCGUCUAUAAUUUGGGCAUCCUAAGGAAUCCUUCAGCUUCGCUUCCUGUCUGAACUUUGUUUCUGGUAUGAUUUUAGAUUCUGCCACACCAGACAAUCCACUUUUCAUCUGGUCCCAUCCUUAGGCUGAAGGCAAAGUAAGAAUCAAUAAAGAUGAUCAGCGCCUAACCUCAUCAAAUGAAACGUUUCAAAGGAAAAAAGAAGUUAAAGAAUGAAUAAAAUGAAACAAAGAUGGGUGUCUCAGACAGUGGGCUCAAGCACCCAUUUUUCCCCAGGGGCCCUUGGAAGAGCAAAAGAAUAGCCCAGGAUAUGAAUAACCUGCAAUAAAAACUCACAAUUCUCAAAUCCGACAGCGUGGAUGCAAAGGUUAUUUCAGGCCACAGAGAUGGCUCGGUAGGGAAGGCAUUUUCCCUAAAGAGCGGGUAACAGAAUGGAAAUAAAACAUAGCUAUGGAAGACUUAACAAGAUUUGUGUCGAGCUUUCAAAAUCCUCUAAUGUCUCUCGGCGGUCUCCAGAUAAAACACAUCUCCCAUGAGGUAGCAGGUUUUUCUAUGGGUGCGUGUUCUGCUCAGGAGUGAUGCAAUCUUCUGUCUGAGGGGGAGUUCUCGGAUGCCUUUCCGUUGAUGGGGAAACAGAACCCGGCUUCAUUUCUACUUUGCCUCAGAGAACAGACCAUGCGGACCUGCACGUCGAGGGCUGUCAAGUAGGAAGUGUUUAGUAAACUGCUUGUCCUCCAUUGAUUCUGAGUUUACUUUAAGAAGACACUUAUCUCUUGUAAAAAGGAUGACUUCCCUUGCCGGUCACCUUUCAGAAGAGGCCUGCGAGAGGCACUCCCUGAGGACGUGCAGAAGCCUGGGUCAGCCGCCUGUGCUUAGAAACAAACAGCGGUUAUCUGCAUCUUCACAUCGCUGCCUCCCACCCCUUUCCUUCUAAGACAGUGGUUCUCAACCUUUCCCCGGUGUUGCCACCAUUUAAUACAGUUCUUCAUGUGCUGACCUCAACCAUAAAAUCUUCUUUGCUGCUUCAUACCUGUAGCUUUGCUGUUGUUAUACCGUUACUACUAGAUCAUAACUAAAUAUCUCAGAUGUCAUCCCUGUAAAAGGCUCCUUGGAGCCUGAGAGGGAUCACGACCCAGAGGUUGAGAACCACCUUUCUAGCGCGGUUCACGGCCCUACUUGGAUAUGUGUGCGUGAGCAUGAGACAGAGAGAGACAGGAACUGAGAUAGAGAGACACAGGAAGAAAAAGCCUACAACGUUUCGACUUAAAACAUGACUAUAAUUUCUUCAAUGGCAAUUUAGGCUUAAAACAAAUACACACUUUUAGAAGUAGGAGGACCUUUAAAAGCCACAUUUAUUGUUCAACGUUAUCAUUUUGCAGAUAAUGCUAGAAAUCCCAGAUAAUGCCCAAAAAAUGACAGAACUUGCUAUAAAUGCAUGCCAAAGCCUUUAUAUUUGCCCAAGUGUUGAAAGUGUAGCUCAGUGGGUAGUGCAUGCAAGAAGCCCUGGGUUGAGUCCUUAGCACUGCGUCGUAAAGCGAGCGUGCCUGUGAUUUUAGUAUUUGUGAUAUGGAUACAGGAGGACCAAAAAUUCCUGUUCAAAUCAUUUCUCUUUUCCUCUCUUUUUUUCUUCCUCCUUCUCCAUCUCCUUCCCCAGCUUUGAUUUUUAGGACAGGAUCUCACGUAGCACAAGCUGGUCUCCCAGGGUAGAGGACCUUGAAUUUCUCCUUGAAAUAAAAAGUUAUGCAGGCUGCAGGUUACACCUGUCUGGGUUUAAAUCUCAGCUCCCACAAUGACCAAGGUGAAUUAAUCUUUCCUAGCCUCCGCUGUGCCUCCUGUGAAAUGGAGACGCUAUAGGAAGUGGUCUGGAAUAUUCCACUGGAAUGCAGUGGUUUUUAUUUGUUUGUUUGUUCCUGAAUUCCUCUGGUGCACUUGAGUGUAGACUUUCCCAGAAGUCAAGUGUCAUAAACCCCUCACUAGGAGUGUCGCCAGCAGGAAAAAUAGUUUCUUAUCACCAAGAAUAGAAGAAAAAGAAAUCGAUAGACAUUGUCCCAAGCUAUCACAUCCUGCAUCUAUUCUCUAAGGGCUGGUUUAUCUUUCCCAGAAGUCAUUUGUUUCCCCAAACUGGAUUCCCUUUUGCUCCACCCCCUUUUAUCUAUCAGCUCCCAAAUCUCCCCUGAGUGACGGUGGUGUGUGAACACGCAUAAGUGAAUAAAACCUAUCCUUAAUCUCAGCACUGUGAGCUCCAUGACUUCAAAGCUACCCUGGUCUACAUAGUGAGUUUCGCUGGUG